UACGUAGGGACCAAGCGUUGUUCGGAUUUACUGGGCGUAAAGGGCGCGUAGGCGGCUUAACAAGUCACUUGUGAAAUCUCCGGGCUUAACUCGGAACGGCCAAGUGAAACUGUCAAGCUAGAGUGCAGAAGGGGCAAUCGGAAUUCUUGGUGUAGCGGUGAAAUGCGUAGAUAUCGAGAGGAACACCUGCGGCGAAGGCGGGUUGCUGGGCUGACACUGACGCUGAGGCGCGAAAGCUAGGGGAGCGAACGGG
rnacentral:rRNA from 1 species